GACGAACGCUGGCGGCGUGCUUAACACAUGCAAGUCGAACGGAAAGGCCCUGCUUUUGUGGGGUGCUCGAGUGGCGAACGGGUGCGUAACACGUGAGUAACCUGCCCUUGACUUUGGGAUAACUUCAGGAAACUGGGGCUAAUACCGGAUAGGAGCUCCUGCUGCAUGGUGGGGGUUGGAAAGUUUCGGCGGUUGGGGAUGGACUCGCGGCUUAUCAGCUUGUUGGUGGGGUAGUGGCUUACCAAGGCUUUGACGGGUAGCCGGCCUGGGAGGGUGACCGGCCACCAUGGGACUGCGAUACGGCCCAGACUCCUACGGGGGGCAGCAGUGGGGAAUAUUGCACAAUGGGCGGAAGCCUGAUGCAGCAACGCCGCGUGCGGGAUGACGGCCUUCGGGUUGUAAACCGCUGUCGCCUGUGACGAAGCGUGAGUGACGGUAAUGGGUAAAGAAGCACCGGCUAACUACGUG
rnacentral:rRNA from 1 species